rnacentral:rRNA from 1 species
AGAGUUUGAUUCUGGCUCAGAACGAACGCUGGCGGCGUGGAUAAGACAUGCAAGUCGAACGAGACUUUUCGUUGUAGCAAUACGAUGGAAAGUUUAGUGGCGAACGGGUGCUUAACACGUGGGCAACCUGCCAUGAAGUGGGGGAUAGCUCGCCGAAAGGCGAAUUAAUACCGCAUGUGAUUAGAAAGGACAUCCUUUCGAAAUUAAAGUCGGGGCAACCUGACGCUUCUUGUGGGGCCCGCGGCCUAUCAGCUAGUUGGUGAGGUAACGGCUCACCAAGGCUUUGACGGGUAGCUGGUCUGAGAGGACGACCAGCCACACUGGGACUGAGACACGGCCCAGACACCUACGGGUGGCAGCAGUCGAGAAUUUUUGACAAUGGGGGAAACCCUGAUCGAGCGACGCCGCGUGGAGGAUGAAGGUCUUCGGAUUGUAAACUCCUGUCAUUGGGGAACAAGGUGCAUACGUUAACUGCGUGUGCAUUGAUAGUACCCGAAGAGGAAGAGACGGCUAACUCUGUGCCAGCAGCCGCGGUAAUACAGAGGUCUCAAGCGUUGUUCGGAUUCAUUGGGCGUAAAGGGUGCGUAGGCGGCGCGGUAAGUCGGGUGUGAAAUCUCGGAGCUUAACUCCGAAACUGCAUUCGAUACUGCCGUGCUUGAGGACUGGAGAGGAGACUGGAAUUUACGGUGUAGCGGUGAAAUGCGUAGAUAUCGUAAGGAAGACCAGUGGCGAAGGCGGGUCUCUGGACAGUUCCUGACGCUGAGGCACGAAGGUCAGGGGAGCAAACGGGAUUAGAUACCCCGGUAGUCCUGACAGUAAACGGUGCACGUUUGGUGUGGGAGGAUUCGACCCCUUCUGCGCCGGAGCUAACGCGUUAAACGUGCCGCCUGGGGAGUACGGUCGCAAGAUUAAAACUCAAAGAAAUUGACGGGGGCCCGCACAAGCGGUGGAGUAUGUGGCUCAAUUCGAUGCAACGCGAAGAACCUUACCAGGCCUUGACAUGCAUCUCUAAGUUGGUGAAAGCCAGCGAGUCCCGAAAGGGACAAUUUGCACAGGUGCUGCAUGGCUGUCGUCAGCUCGUGUCGUGAGAUGUUGGGUUAAGUCCCGCAACGAGCGCAACCCCUGUGAACUGUUGCCAC